rnacentral:misc_RNA from 1 species
AUUUGACAUAUACUUGACAAGCUCAUCAUCUUUUGUUGCCCUUACAAUGACAGAGAGCUGCUGGCUAUUCACUGUAGUCUUUUGUUGGACCAUGGCCCUAGCAUUUGUAUGUUUUCUUAGUUCAUGGGGCAGAUCAUCAUAUGGCUUAUUGAUGUAACUUUUGGCUUUUAACUUGUCUUGAUGCUUUAUGCUCUGUGUUGCUUGGGUUAGAAGAACCAUAUCCUUGACUAUCUUGGAAUUCUGCUGCUGUUUUGAACUCUUUUUUACGCCUAAACUGCUGAAUCCCAUUUUGUUAGAAGGUUCUGAGUAUGUUAAUACUUUGUCAUAACCCGGAUAACAAUCUAACUAUUUGCAAGUUUCACGGACAUAUUUUGCCAGUAGAAAACCGAGGAAACGUAGGCUCAUGAAGGGGACAUGGAAACAGAAAAUCACUGAUCUCGAUAAAGAUCCGAUACAUGAAACGGUGAGUGGUGAAAUCUCGAAGCAGACGUAGACUAGAAGCAAAGAAAAGAAUUACCACUACAGAAAUCAAGAACAUUCAUAUUUGCAACACAAUAAUCAAUCUUUUGGUAACACGAAAAGAAAAGAAGCAAAACGAAGCCAUCUGAGAGUGGAGAUUGAAGACUGAA